rfam:Acremonium chrysogenum ATCC 11550 scaffold3, whole genome shotgun sequence.
UGACCUCGGAUCAGGUAGGAAUACCCGCUGAACUUAAGCAUAUCAAUAAGCGGAGGAAAAGAAACCAACAGGGAUUGCCCCAGUAACGGCGAGUGAAGCGGCAACAGCUCAAAUUUGAAAUCUGGCCCCCCGGCCCGAGUUGUAAUUUGCAGAGGAUGCUUCUGGCGACGCGCCUUCCGAGUUCCCUGGAACGGGACGCCACAGAGGGUGAGAGCCCCGUCCGGUCGUGCGCCUAGCCUGUGUGAAGCUCCUUCGACGAGUCGAGUAGUUUGGGAAUGCUGCUCUAAAUGGGAGGUAUACGUCUUCUAAAGCUAAAUACCGGCCAGAGACCGAUAGCGCACAAGUAGAGUGAUCGAAAGAUGAAAAGCACUUUGAAAAGAGGGUUAAAUAGUACGUGAAAUUGCUGAAAGGGAAGCGCUUAUGACCAGACUUGGGCCCGGUGAAUCACCCAGCGUUCUCGCUGGUGCACUUUGCCGGCCCAGGCCAGCAUCAGUUCGCGCCGGGGGAUAAAGGCUUCGGGAAUGUAGCUCCCUCGGGAGUGUUAUAGACCGUUGCGCAAUACCCUGGGGCGGACUGAGGUACGCGUUCUGCAAGGAUGCUGGCGUAAUGGUCAUCAGUGACCCGUCUUGAAACACGGACCAAGGAGUCGUCUUUGUAUGCGAGUGUUCGGGUGUCAAACCCCUACGCGUAAUGAAAGUGAACGUAGGAGAGAGCUUCGGCGCAUCUCCGACCGAUCCUGAUGUUCUCGGAUGGAUUUGAGUAAGAGCAUACAGGGCCGGACCCGAAAGAAGGUGAACUAUGCCUGUAUAGGGUGAAGCCAGAGGAAACUCUGGUGGAGGCUCGCAGCGGUUCUGACGUGCAAAUCGAUCGUCAAAUAUGGGCAUGGGGGCGAAAGACUAAUCGAACCUUCUAGUAGCUGGUUUCCGCCGAAGUUUCCCUCAGGAUAGCAGUGUUGAGCUCAGUUUUAUGAGGUAAAGCGAAUGAUUAGGGACUCGGGGGCGCUUUUUAGCCUUCAUCCAUUCUCAAACUUUAAAUAUGUAAGAAGCCCUUGUUACUUAGCUGAACGUGGGCAUUCGAAUGUAUCAACACUAGUGGGCCAUUUUUGGUAAGCAGAACUGGCGAUGCGGGAUGAACCGAACGCGAGGUUAAGGUGCCAGAGUAGACGCUCAUCAGACACCACAAAAGGUGUUAGUACAUCUUGACAGCAGGACGGUGGCCAUGGAAGUCGGAAUCCGCUAAGGACUGUGUAACAACUCACCUGCCGAAUGUACUAGCCCUGAAAAUGGAUGGCGCUCAAGCGUCUCACCCAUACCUCGCCCUCAGGGUAGAAACGAUGCCCUGAGGAGUAGGCGGACGUGGAGGUCAGUGACGAAGCCUAGGGCGUGAGCCCGGGUUGAACGGCCUCUAGUGCAGAUCUUGGUGGUAGUAGCAAAUACUUCAAUGAGAACUUGAAGGACCGAAGUGGGGAAAGGUUCCAUGUGAACAGCGGUUGGACAUGGGUCAGUCGAUCCUAAGCCAUAGGGAAGUUCCGUUUCAAAGGUGCACUUGUGCGCCGUCUGGCGAAAGGGAAGCCGGUCAAUAUUCCGGCACCUGGAUGUGGGUUUUGCGCGGUAACGCAACUGAACGCGGAGACGACGGCGGGGGCCCCGGGCAGAGUUCUCUUUUCUUCUUAACGGUCUCUCACCCUGAAAACGGUUUGUCCGGAGCUAGGGUUUAAUGGCCGGAAGAGCCCAGCACCUUUG